rnacentral:rRNA from 1 species
AGUGAACGCUGGCGGUAUGCCUAACACAUGCAAGUCGAACGAUAGCACAAUAAGAUCUUGCUCUUACGGGUGGCGAGUGGCGGACGGGGGAGGAAUACAUCGGAAUCUACUUUUUCGUGGGGGCUAACAAAGGGAAACUUACGCUAAUACCGCAUACGACCUACGGAACAAAGCAACGAAGCUUCUGACCUUGCGCGAAUCAAUGACCCGAGGUCGGAUUAGCGAGUUGGGGGGGUAAAGGCCCACCACAGCGACGCUCCGUAGCGGGUAUGAGAGGAUGGAUAGCCACACUGGAACUGAGAGACGGUCCACACUCCUACGGGAGGCAGCAGUGGGGAAUAUUGGACAAUGGGCGCAAGCCUGAUCCAGCAAUACCGCGUGGGUGAAGAAGGCCUUCGGGUUGUAAAGCGCUUUUGUUGGGAAAGAAAAGCAGCAGGUUAAUACCCCGCUGUUCUGACGGUACCCAAAGAAUAAGCACCGGCUAACUUCGUG